rnacentral:rRNA from 1 species
AUGACUUUCAAAGGGUACGAGAUAAAUGGUAAUACAUUUUACACGAUCGCCCAAGAUAAGAAGCGCACCAACCAAAACAGUGGUGUCCGCUUUGAUGCAGAAACCAAGACGGGAAAGGAAACAUAUUAUGGUUAUAUACAGGACAUAUGGGAACUUGACUAUCUACGUGGUUUAAAGGUCCCUUUGUUUCGGUGCAAAUGGGUCAAUAUGACACGAGGCGGGGUAACGGAAGACCCGCAGUACGGAAUGACAAUAGUGGAUCUCAACAAUCUUGCGUAUGUAGACGAACCAUUCGUCCUAGCCAAUGAUGUGGCACAUGUUUUCUAUGUGAAGGACAUGUCUACCAAGCCAAGAAAAAGAAAAGAUAAGGAAGCAAAUGCAUAG